AAUGGGCGCAAGCCUGAUCCAGCCAUGCCGCGUGAGUGAUGAAGGCCCUAGGGUCGUAAAGCUCUUUCGCCUGUGAAGAUAAUGACGGUAGCAGGUAAAGAAACCCCGGCUAACUCCGUGCCAGCAGCCGCGGUAAUACGGAGGGGGCUAGCGUUGUUCGGAAUUACUGGGCGUAAAGCGCGCGUAGGCGGAUUAGUCAGUCAGAGGUGAAAUCCCAGGGCCCAACCCUGGAACUGCCUUUGAUACUGCUAGUCUUGAGUUCGAGAGAGGUAAGUGGAAUUCCGAGUGUAGAGGUGAAAUUCGUAGAUAUUCGGAGGAACACCAGUGGCGAAGGCGGCUUACUGGCUCGAUACUGACGCUGAGGUGCGAAAGUGUGGGGAGCAAACAGGAUU
rnacentral:rRNA from 1 species